UUAGUUUAAAUCAUUAUGAGUCUAUACUUUGAAAAUAGAAUCCAUACAAAAUGGUGGGACAUACAUUGAUUUCAUUCAA
rnacentral:pre_miRNA from 1 species